rnacentral:rRNA from 1 species
CUACAGGCUUAACACAUGCAAGUCGAGGGGCAGCAUGAACUUAGCUUGCUAAGUUUGAUGGCGACCGGCGCACGGGUGAGUAACACGUAUCCAACCUGCCGAUGACUCGGGGAUAGCCUUUCGAAAGAAAGAUUAAUACCCGAUGGCAUAGUUCUUCCGCAUGGUAGAACUAUUAAAGAAUUUCGGUCAUCGAUGGGGAUGCGUUCCAUUAGGUUGUUGGCGGGGUAACGGCCCACCAAGCCUUCGAUGGAUAGGGGUUCUGAGAGGAAGGUCCCCCACAUUGGAACUGAGACACGGUCCAAACUCCUACGGGAGGCAGCAGUGAGGAAUAUUGGUCAAUGGACGAGAGUCUGAACCAGCCAAGUAGCGUGAAGGAUGACCGCCCUAUGGGUUGUAAACUUCUUUUAUACGGGAAUAAAGUGAGGCACGUGUGCCUUUUUGUAUGUACCGUAUGAAUAAGGAUCGGCUAACUCCGUGCCAGCAGCCGCGGUAAUACGGAGGAUCCGAGCGUUAUCCGGAUUUAUUGGGUUUAAAGGGAGCGUAGGCGGACGCUUAAGUCAGUUGUGAAAGUUUGCGGCUCAACCGUAAAAUUGCAGUUGAUACUGGGUGUCUUGAGUACAGUAGAGGCAGGCGGAAUUCGUGGUGUAGCGGUGAAAUGCUUAGAUAUCACGAAGAACUCCGAUUGCGAAGGCAGCCUGCUGGACUGUAACUGACGCUGAUGCUCGAAAGUGUGGGUAUCAAACAGGAUUAGAUACCCUGGUAGUCCACACAGUAAACGAUGAAUACUCGCUGUUUGCGAUAUACAGUAAGCGGCCAAGCGAAAGCGUUAAGUAUUCCACCUGGGGAGUACGCCGGCAACGGUGAAACUCAAAGGAAUUGACGGGGGCCCGCACAAGCGGAGGAACAUGUGGUUUAAUUCGAUGAUACGCGAGGAACCUUACCCGGGCUUGAAUUGCAACUGAAUGAUGUGGAGACAUGUCAGCCGCAAGGCAGUUGUGAAGGUGCUGCAUGGUUGUCGUCAGCUCGUGCCGUGAGGUGUCGGCUUAAGUGCCAUAACGAGCGCAACCCUUAUCUUUAGUUACUAACAGGUCAUGCUGAGGACUCUAGAGAGACUGCCGUCGUAAGAUGUGAGGAAGGUGGGGAUGACGUCAAAUCAGCACGGCCCUUACGUCCGGGGCUACACACGUGUUACAAUGGGGGGUACAGAAGGCAGCUACCUGGUGACAGGAUGCUAAUCCCAAAAGCCUCUCUCAGUUCGGAUCGAAGUCUGCAACCCGACUUCGUGAAGCUGGAUUCGCUAGUAAUCGCGCAUCAGCCAUGGCGCGGUGAAUACGUUCCCGGGCCUUGUACACACCGCCCGUCAAGCCAUGAAAGCCGGGGGUACCUGAAGUACGUAACCGCAAGGAGCGUCCUAGGGUAAAACUGGUAAUUGGGGCUAAG